rnacentral:lncRNA from 1 species
UUACUAGUCAUUGGAUUAUCCAGUAUCCUUAUUCCCUUCCCCAUCUAUUUUUGUACUAUUUUCUUCUCUGCAAGUUUCCGUUCUUUCUUAUUUUGAUCAGCUUCCUGAGGUUUAGUGCUUACCUUAGGGUGGGAUGCUUUAUCUCUGCAGAUAUGCCUAAAUUGAGAGCACACAGGGCAAAAUAGCUGUCUCUAAUCAUAAGAGACUUUAUGAACAAAUAAUCUCCCAAACGAAUCAAUAAUUUUAAUUUACUUAGGCAACUACUGAGUUAUAUAUUCAUAUCAACAAGAACUCUUGCAUAAGAUAUUCUUGUUUAAUCUUUAGUACAUUCAUCUACAAAUAAUGGCUAACCUAAUAUACUCACAAUCUUACUUAAAGUCUUUUAGCCCCAGCAAUUUAAAUGUAAAUUAUACGGUCUUACCCAAAAUGGCAGCAUAGUGGGAAUUUCCUUCUGAAAAAUCAAAUGUAGGGCUCUACACCUUUAAACAUAGAGGCAUGCCAUUCAUAGUGUAAGGACCCGAGUAGAGGAUUUCAUCCCUGUCUUGUGAGUUGUUGAAUUUAGCAAUAUAAUAGACUUUGUCAUGCCAGUAUAGCUCUGGCAGGGUCACAAUGUUCCAGUUUCUCGCAAUGUAAGCUUUCAAGUAUGUCAAACCUGGUGCUUCCCCCAUUGUAUAGAGUAUUAAUGCAUUGCUCCAUUCCUUUGUAGAUCUCGCUAUGUUAACCUCCUCUAGCAUAACCCUAGGAUUCCUAUCAAGAACAAUUGGCACUAUGAAUUUAAAUGCCAUACCAUUAGCUAAAGCUCGAUUUCACGAAAAUAGAUUUGCCCAAUUCUUAUUCUCAUCAGAUUCCUUUUUCUCUUGCUGAUUCUCUAGCAUCGACAUUCCCAUUGGGCUAGAUAUUACUGGAUUAGCUGUGCUAGUACUUGGUUCCUCAAUGAAGAUGACUCUCUUCCCUUUCCAAGCCUGAUUUGACUCCAUUGUGGGUGAAGCCCCAAUUUUCAUGGUUACUAUGCCAUUUUCUUCAACCCGUUCUUCAUUCUCUACUAGAGUUUCCCCUUACUAUCUCCCUGGUUUCCUCGAUCCUCUGUUAGCUUUCUAGUUUUGUCAUUAUCCUUCCUAGGUUGCCUCUUCCUCGUUUAGCCAAGGAGGGUGCACGUUAGCAGAAUGAGUUAAGCAUGCUCCGAGAGCAUUGUAAAGAUUAU